rnacentral:rRNA from 1 species
GCCAACAAGAAAUUAUAACUUUUACCAAAGUAAAGAAAAUUUUCACAAAAUAAUAGUAUUCUUUUAAAAAUAUAUUUUAUACACAACCGCAAGGGCUUUACUUUAGCCUUUUAAAGAAAUGAUAACCCCAUAUCCCUUUUGCAUCAUGGAGAAGCAACAAAAACAUAGCAAGCCAAAUUCCCGAAUGAUUAUGAGCUACUAAUCUUUAAAAAUCAAUGUUUCAUAAUUGAUAGAGUAAUUUUUAGUAGAAGUAACAAGCCUUCCAUAUAAUCAUAUAGCUGGUUUUUCUUUAAAAGCAUCAAAGUGCUAACUCAUAGUAUUAAGCUACACCCAUUAACACUAUAAAGUUUAAUUUAUUGAGGAUAAGCUCAAUAAGAUACAAAAAUAUUUUAUUCUUUAACUUUCUAAGUAGGCUUAAAAGCAGCCAUCUAAUAACGUUUUAGUUAUCAAGGCACAACAUCAAUAUCUAUACUCGUAUUUUAAAUCUAAAGAAAUUUAAUACACAACUUUUCUGUAUUAGUAAACAGGCAUUCUAUUAGUAUUGAAAAAUUAUUUUUCAUAACCCUAAAAAAAUCUGAACCAAAAUAUUUUACCACACUAAAUAUAUACAAAGCGAACUCGGCAAAUAAAUUCCUUGCCUGUUUACCAAAAACAUCGUCUUUUGAGCCCAUCUAUAAAAGAUAAUGCCUGCCCAGUGAAAAUUUUAAACGGCCGCGUUAGCGUGAGCGUGCUAAGGUAGCGUAAUAAUUAGCCUUUUAAUUGGAGGCCAGUGAAUGGCAAGACUAGGAAUAUCUGUACUUUGUAUAUGAAAAAAACUUUUCAUCUAAGUGAAAAGACUUAGAUAAUAAAGGAAGACGAAAAGACCCCGCGGAACUUUACCUUUUCUCAUACCUCUGUCUACAAACUUAAAAGUCUAUAAGGUUUGAUUGGGGCAAUCUUGGAACCAACAAAGCUUCCAACCACUUACAAUAUUUAUACAAAAUUUGUUAAAGACUAAAAAGUAGUUACCCCGGGGAUAACAGCGUAAUCCAACUAAAGAGUACACAUCGAAAGUUGGGUUUGCGACCUCGAUGUUGGCUUAAGGAUAUCCACAUAAGUGCAACCGCUAUGACAGGAUAGUCUGUUCGACUAUUAUACCCUUACAUGAGCUGAGUUAAGACCGGCGCAAGCUAGGUUGGUUUCUAUCUCCUCUACCUAAUAAACCUUCUUGAUUGUACGAAAGGACCCCAAGAGAUGCACCUAAUAAAGGCAUUUAUUAAACUAUUUUUAACAUAAUAU